rnacentral:lncRNA from 1 species
AAUUAGGCCCAUCAUAAUUGUCAGCACCAGGCUCACUGGGCUGUUAAUCUGGCCCUGGACAUAGCCAUAGUGAGGUAUUGGGAUAAUGUGGCUUUUUAAUAGAUAGAUAUCAACUAAUUGGCAAACUCCACUUGAGUAGUGAUACAGUAUUCUAGUAAGUGUCUUGAUCGACAUUUGAGCAGUGGACUGAAUUCUGCCCUCCUGGCUGAAUGUCUAGAACUGCCAUUGCAACCUGGACAGAGCCCAUUGUCAUGUUGGGAAAGGGAACAGCAUCCCUGGAGCACCAACCCCUACUAUUGGAGACUUGGAAAUAUCAAAAUACAGUCGUAAUCAAAAUUAUUAAAUUUUUAGUUGAAUUUGGGGAAAACACUUGAAGCAUGUGUUGUGUUAAGCUAUUUGAAUUGCUUUUGUUUAAUUUGUUUGUUGCAAACAGCUGAAAGUCUGUAAAAAUCUAUAAACUUUAUUUUCAAUGAGGGUUGAUACUUUUGAUUACAACUGCAUAUAUAUAAUGAUAUUAUGAAUAGCAUAAUGAUAUCCUUAGGGGACAUUAUCUCAGAUAUCUUUGGGGGGAAAUCCAUUAGAAACCCUGCUCAACUUUGCCAACAAUUUAGGCUGGAUACUUGUAUACAAUAUAAAAGAACAAUGACAUAGCAUAUUCUAACAAAAAAGUAAAGGAUGCCUGACAUGGAUAUCUUUGAACAAAUGUGGAUUGGCACAAGGUUCAAUGUCACACCACAGAGUUCAAUGUCGCAAGGAGCCGGUUAUGUGAGUGCCCUGAGAUCUUUGAAGACCAGAUGUGUAUAAUUGAAGAAUAGAAACAUGGCAAAAUAGAAUCUGACGGCAGAUAAGAACCAUUCGUCCCAUCUAGUCUGCCCAAUAACUCAGGAGAACCAGCCAGUUUCCACUCUGGGGUCACCUUUGGUGGCAAGUGUCGAUGGAUCAAAGGAGUAGACUGCGAUGCCAUCAGGUACCAUUCCGCCAGUUACUUCAUACUUUCACUGUGGGUAGAAAUUGUGUGAAGAAUGCCAAUUGGCCAAAGGAUUAGUUUAGUAGCGUAUCCCCACCGAUAAGGCAGUUGUAGUGAUUGUGAUGAACGUGUGGUGCAAGGUUAGGUGUUCUUCCUCCAGCUUCUGUUACUUAUCUAUCACUUCAUUGUAAUACGUCUGUACAUAGGAUGACUUUCUCUGUCUCCUAGCUUUGUGAAAUCUUUAUAGACUUCUGCCCUAAUUUGUCUAAAGUCUGUUUGGAUGGUGGUUCAAAGAGCUUGAAGCAUGGAAUGUUUACAUUUUCCAGUAAUUGGUACCUCAUCUGAGAAGAGGUGUAGUGUGAUUCUGGCUCCGAUGGAGCCUCAGAGGAGAGCGAUGGUUACUUGCAGUAACUGCUAUCUUAUGAAGGCUUAUGAAUGGAACCUACUUCCCUGAGAGGAUAGGAUACACAAGCUUUAGUUGCUUUGACGGAGCCAUCACGGAAGGUAAGUUGUUGUUUGGCAGAUAUGAAGCAUCAAAGACUAGCUAAAUCUGUAGCUGUGGGCUAAUCCGAUCUCAUAGCUUCACUAACAGUAUUUUUGUAUAUUUUAUUUUUGAUCUUUGCAAUAUGUUUACAUGGCUCAAUAACAGGGGAUAUUAGAUUAGAG